rnacentral:rRNA from 1 species
AUACGUAGGGGGCGAGCGCUGUCCGGAAUGAUUGGGCGUAAAGGGCGCGUAGGCGGCCUGGUAAGUCUGGAGUGAAAGUCCUGUUUUUAAGAUGGGAAUUGCUUUGGAUACUGUCGGGCUUGAGUGCAGGAGAGGUAAGUGGAAUUCCCAGUGUAGCGGUGAAAUGCGUAGAGAUUGGGAGGAACACCAGUGGCGAAGGCGACUUACUGGACUGUAACUGACGCUGAGGCGCGAAAGUGUGGGGAGCAAACAGGAUUAGAUACCCUGGUAGUCCACACUGUAAACGAUGAAUGCUAGGUGUAGGGGGUAUCGACCCCUUCUGUGCCGCAGUCAACACAAUAAGCAUUCCGCCUGGGGAGUACGGCCGCAAGGUUGAAACUCAAAUGAAUUGACGGGG